CAUGCUGAGUUCUAUCACCCUCCUUCUCACCAUCCUGUUCCCUGCUGGUCAGAAAGCACUCACCAUGGACCAGCCAAUGAUCUCCAUCACCAAACAGACAGGGAAAAUAGCAUCAUUUUUCUGCAAGUUUUCUGACGAAAGGAUCACGUACAUCCACUGGUAUUGGCAGCAGCAUGGAAAGUCUCCUCAGCGCCUGCUCUACUAUAAUCUGGCCACGUCUCAACCCAGGCUGGAUGCAGGUUUCAGCUCAGAAAAAUUCAGUGUUUUCCAGAGCAAAGAUCAAAGCUGCAUCCUGAAUAUAAGGAAAGUGGAAAUGAGUGAUGCUGGUACCUAUUACUGUGCCAGCUGGGACUCCACAGCGACACAGGUCUCUCUACUCCCCACACAAAAAUAUCACCACCUGUAG